UAAGUGUGAAGCCCACCUCGAGAUGAGAUUUCCCAUUUCUUUAAGAAAGUAAGAACCCUGAAAGAUGAUCAGGUAGAUAGGUCAGAAGUGGAAGUACAGUGAUGUACGGAGCGGACUGAUACUAAUCGUUCGAGGACUUAACCAA
rnacentral:rRNA from 1 species